AAAUAAAGAUAAAAAGAAAAAUUGAAUCAAUGUGUUGAUGCUCCCCACCAUCCACUUGCCAGUAAGUUUGAAGAUAUUUGAACACUACAGUUAUCUAGAUUGAUCUCAGAUUUAACAGUCAGUUUCUCAAAAUAUUUCUGUACCUGUACAAUGCCUCAUCACUCUUGGAUUCUCUUUGAAAAAGAAAAUAACAUAUUUUUAGCCCUUUCGUUACCAACCUGGCUGAAACCUGCUCUAGCUCUGAGUAAAAAUGUCUUGUUUUCAUAAGUUUUGAAUUAAAAUCUUCCACUAAACCUUA